rnacentral:rRNA from 1 species
CUAGCGCGGUGGUCCCACCUGACCCCAUGCCGAACUCAGAAGUGAAACGCCGUAGCGCCGAUGGUAGUGUGGGGUCUCCCCAUGCGAGAGUAGGGAACUGCCAGGU